UGGCCCAAUAUAUAGAAGAAUUGGUUAGAACGUCCACAUGUUGAUGUACAAUUAGAUAGAAUGAUCCAAUUCAUAGAAGAAUUGCUUAGAACUUAUGUAUUAAUCAUUUGGACACUUGGAGUGAAAUUUUACCUUUAUACAAUUCAUCUAUUAUAAUAAUAAUAGCCAAUAAAGUAUAGGUUGAAUGUCUAUGAAGCAUUAUAUAAGAAGACCUUUAUGUUGGUUUUAAAAUGGUGUGUUGAUACGAUCAGACUUAAUACAACAAACCAAACAGAGAGUCAAAAUGAUUCAAGAAAGGUUGAAAACAAUCUCUAAAUAAGCAUAAAUUCUAUGCAAAUUGAAAAAAAAAAAAAAAAAAGACCUUUACAAAUUUUAUGAUGGUGAACACGUAAAAAAAAAGGUUGCAUUGCAUAUAAAUUUGUUUUACCCUUCUCUUUUAACCAACAUUUACAACAUAUUUUAUCGAAACUCCCAAUUAUGUCCUGCAAUCCAAAUCAAUAAAUAUAUAUAUAUAUAUAUAUAUAUAUAUCACCCUUUCUCUAAAGUCAGAACUAAUCUUUUGUACAUAUUGAGUAUGGAUUUGAUUGGAUAAAUCUUCACAAUGUUUUUAUAGAAAAAAGAAAUGAAAUAAACCAUUUUUUCUUUUAAAUUAAAAUUUAUUUAUGGUUACCUUGAUGCACUCUAUUUUAUAAGUUUACCCAGAAAUUUAAUUAUUAAAUUAAAACUAUCCGGCCACUGAUUUUAUGCUCACAUUAAUUCAGGAAGUGUUUAUCAUAAUUUUAGGAAAGCAUUGGAGAGUGAACAGAAAUUUCAUAACCACCUCGUAUCUUGUCAGACUUUCAUUCCAUGCAGCAAUCCAUUAUACAAACUGAUUUCAAAGUUUUGCUGCAAAAUAUUGAACACAUUUUGAAGAUGCCUUUUACACAUCUCGAAGAAUCAACGGACGAGAACUCAUAAACCGGUAAUGACACGUCAGUAAAGGAGAUAGCAGGAUUAACAGUAUACUUCCUCAAGAACAAAGCUUAACCAUAAAUGGUAAAUCAAUGAACAAUAAGCUUCACAAUCUGAACCACAAAAGUCUUUUUAUUCAUAAUAUAUAAUUUGCAAUACAAUUAAGAAGCAUAUCUUUUAUUUGAUUUACAUUCACAUAGACAUAAGUACGAUGGUCUUGUCUUGAACACAACAUCAUAAGUAACAUAAAGCAUUGAAGUGCAAGAGCAAAGACUACUGAUUCAUUGCUAGGAAGUUGUAAACAUGACAAUGCAAGAAAACACAAAGCAGAAUCUCUUAUUAUUUAAGCAGUAAUAAGAUAAGAGAGGAUAUUGCAUGUUCUAGGCAUGGUUGUUGUCCUCCACUGGAGGAUACUUCCCAUAAGGUGGUUUCUUGUAUGGUGGCUUUUCGUAUGGUGGCUUGUAGUAAGGUGGUUUUGGCUUGUAAAUAGGAGGCUUGUAAAUUGGAGGCUUGUAAAUUGGAGGCUUGUAAUAGAUGGGAGGCUUGUAAAUGGGAGGCUUCUUGAUUGGUUUGUAAUAAGUAGCAAAACCUUGAGGAAUGAGGAUUAGGGCAGCAAGAACAAACACCAGAAAGCUUGAAAAGGAAGCCAUGUUAAAGAUUGGUGUGCAUAACAGACUGAGUAAUGUGUUCAUAUAUAUAGUAGUUAGGAGGGGUCAUUGUAGGUGUAAGGUCUAAAUCUAGGUCAUUAAUGAUUUGCUUUGUCAUAUUAUGGUAUUUGCCAAAGUUCGGUGUGAUUAUUCAAAAUUGAUUUAGAAAUUAUACAUUGAUAUACACAAAUAUUUUACAUUCAUUUAAUACUUGUUAUUUUUUACUCAAUUGUGCUAAAAAAUAUUUUUUAUAGUAAUUAAAAUCCAUGAGAUAUAAAAAAUGAAGCAGUGACACUAUUAUAGAUAUGAAAAGUUUUUUUAUUUGGAUUGGACUUAGAACUGAUGUAAAAAGUGGCUCAGUAACAAAAUUGUAAUAAAUUACAAUUUUUUUAUACCAAUUACACUCAUAAUUGAAUAGAAAGUCGAUUUUCUAUACUAGUUAGACUUAGAACCGAUAUAGAAAGUGUGGUGGUAACAAAACUAUAAUAUUAAACAAACUUUUCUAUAUUCAUUGCAAUCAGAACAAAUAUAGAAAGUUGUUUUUCUAUCCUGGUUAGUCAAUAUAACCGGGAUAUAAUAUUUAAUAUUCAUCUCCUUCUUCUUUUUGCGCUUCAAUUUCGCAAAACUCUUUUUCUUGUUCUCUCUAUGCUUCACCUUCAUUACUUUUCGCUCUCUCUGUGCUUGGCUUCCAUUCAUUCUUGGUCUCUCUACGUUUCCAAUAGUUCACUAAAGUCGCUUGUGCUAUCGUUUGUGGUUGUUGUUUUUGUCAUCGCUGUGGUCGUUGUUUGUUGUCGAUUUUUUAGUCGCGGUGGUUGUUGAAGUUAUCACUGUUGUAGGUCAAGUUGUGGUUCAUCUUUGUCAUCAAUGGUUGGUAUUGCAGUGCCUAUUUUCAUGGAGGUUGGAGUCGUUGUUGUGGUGUCAUUGUUAUCACUGCAUUUUUUCUUCCUCUUGCGUUGAAGCUUUCUUGGUUGCGUUGUUGGUGUUGUAGUAGUGUGGUGAGUAACACUAAAGCUUCCUUGUGUGGUAUGGUAGGUCGUUGCACGUGGUGUUUUUUUGAUCGUUUUGUUGUGGUUCUUGGCAAAUUUUAAACCUUAAUUUACUAUUGUUGAGGAUGUUGUGUUUUGACGUAUUUAUUGUUACAUUGCAUUCGUUGGGAGGAAAAUUUAAUAUUGUGAGGUUUUCCAUUUUUUGGAGCUUUCCAUGUUUGUGUUAUUGCAUUCAAUUGGUGUGAUUACUCUUUUGUGUUAGAAUUUAUGAGAAAAAAGUGAGGUAUAAAAAUCAAUAGGUUUGAAUCUCUACAAAUGAUGAGGCUGCAAGUGAGUAGAUUUUUGGUGGUGAUCAAAAUCACCAAAUAAGUUGUAGGCAAAAGAAAAAUGGAGAUCAAUACGAGUCCUAAUUAGAAAGACUAUUUGGGAAUGAGAUAUCAAUCUCUUAAAUACGUUGAAGUGAAGCGUAUUGAACUAAAUCCAUUGAUUAAUUCUUUAUGUUGUGGUUUGGUAUGACUAAGUUCACAUAUUGGACUCAUGUUUAACUGUUUCUUAGAUCUACCUAAAAGUAGAGGUGUUGGUUUUUACAUAUAAUAAUGGAUAGGUGUUGAAUAAAUUUUAUACGCAUAACAAAUGAAUAUGGGAGCAGAGUAGAACAAUUUCUUGAGUUUGCAAAGACAAGUGUUCUAGACAAUAACAAAAGAUUUUAUUGCUCAUGUGUUAAUUGUUUGAAUGGAUGAAAACUAUCAACUGAAGUUCUUUGGGAGCAUGUUGUUCUCCUAAAGUUACACAAAAUGGACAUGACAUAGUGAAUUAAUAGACACACCUAGUGCAUCCAGAAUGCACUAAGUAUACUUUAUUGUCAAUGGUAUCAAAACACUUUGGAGUCAUAUUAUAUGCAUUUGGAGUCAUAUAAUAUGCAUUUGCAUUCUUAAGAGAAGAUUCUCGUGAUUCUUGGAUUAUAACACUGAUUCUUAUCAAAGAUUAACAUCUUUCUGGAGAACUUUCACUCGACUUAUUAAUCUGCUAGAUUGUGGCUUCCCUAUCCUUGUCUCAUUCUGCAUUCUUCUAUGAUUUAUUCAAGAGAUAGUCCUCUAUUAUACCUUUUUUUCUUAAAAAGAAUUUUUCCUCAAAUUUGUAUAACUUAAAUAUUCCUUAUCAUUUUAAGAAGUUAGAACAACUAGAAAAUGAGGUUGUGGUCAUAUUAUGCCUAUUAGAUAUGUACUUUACACACACGCAGACAAGGACACACACACACAGACUCACAAAUACACAGUCACACACACAAACACACACACACACACAUAAACACACACACACACACAUACAUAAAUGGACAUGCGCGCGCACACACAAAGACACACACACCCAGAAACACACAUACAUAGACACACACACACCCACAAACACACAUACAUAGACACACACACACACACAAACACAAACACACAUACACACAAACAUAGACACACACACCCACAAACACACAUACACACAAACAUAGACACACACUCCCACAAACACAAACAUAAACAUACACACAAACACACACACACACACACAAACAAAUUGACAUACAGAUAGACACAUACAGACACACAAGAAGUCAUCCCAAAAGAAGUCAUCCCCUUCUUAAGUGCUCAUAAAUAUAUUGUUAAAAGAAAGAAAUAAUCCACGAAUACUUCAGAAGUUGGUUAUUAAUGAGCACAACAAAACCUUUUUAAAGUGGUUCAAACAACAUGUUCAAGCUUACCAUACAACCUCUGACACAUUAAAUUGAAUACCAAGUGAACCAAACUUUGAUGUCAUAUGUUGGAGUGGGUAUGAUAUGAAAAAUUAUACAUUUCAUACAAAGAAAAUGAAAAAAAAAACACCACUCACAAUAAUGGAGUAAUAGUUGUGGUUGAGUCAAUGCAUUUCUUGAGUUCAAAGGAUAAAAAUCCUUUUAUGGCAUCAAUGUGCUACUUUCGUGUUAUGGAAGAUAUUUGGGUGAUAGAUUACACAAGUUUCAGAGUACUUAUUUUUAAAUGGGUUGAUUGUAAUAUUGGCAUAAGGACCAAUGAUCUAAGUUUUACAUUGUGCAGAUAUUACAAUUCUUGUUGCUUUCUUGAUGCCUUGGAGAUUUCUUGAGACCUUUGAAUGUUUCUUGUUGUGUACUUGUACUUAAACUCAAUGCUUUGUUAGAAUAUUGCAAAUGAAAUUCGUAAUGAGACAGGUUUCAAUAUAGAUAUAUAUAGGAUAUGACAUUCUGGUGUAGUUUAAUUGAUUAGAUAAAAACCUUAAUCGAUUAAGCCGAAGUUUAUGUUUCAAUGACAUUAUGGUGCAGUUUAAUCGAUUAGGUAAAACCUUAAUUGAUUAGGCCAAAGUUUCUGUUUUAAUCGAUUAGGUUAUUAAUGUUAUCAAUUAAAACAGACAAUUUUGUCAUUUUUUUCUUCUUAUGAGUUCUGACAUGCUUUAACUGAUUGCUAACUAACAUAAUGGAUUAAUAGCAUCAAAAUUGCAGAUUGUAAACUGUCUAACCCAGUUACAUUCAUCUAUACAUGAUAUAUGUAUCUAACAUGAUUUUCCUAUGAUUUUAAACAUUGAUCCAUCAAGAAAGAACAUAUGAUUAAUUCAUCAUCAAAAACAUUUUACCAAAUUUAGAAGGGAAAAGCUCCCCCUUUCAACACUAACCGGUAUAAAAAGUUACUUUUUAUAUACAAAUUUAUCUCUUUCCUAAUAAACUUUUUAUAUCGGUUUCAGAUUCAGUAUAAAAAGUCAAAUACUUUCUAUACCGAUUCAAAAACUGGUAUAAAUUUUUUUUAACUCAUAUAAAAAAGCUUUUCUGAUAUAGUGACUCUUCCUUUUCUUUUUAAAAUAUAAAAGUUUAUGUUUUUAAGACUAUUUUAAUCUUAUAAUAUGUGUCAAAUGAAUAUAAAUGUAUCUUAUCCUACUAUGACUUGAUUUAGACCCUUUAGUCUUGUGUGGCAUUGUUGCAAAUCAAGAAUCUCAACAAAAUCUAUAUAUUUAUCCAUAAAGAUCUCUAAAGAAAUAUAUAAAAAAGGAAAACCCAAAAAUUAAUUUUUUUAUAAAUUACAAUAAUUUAUACGAGUUAGAAAUAAAAAAAAAAAUUGGUAACAAAGUUUUUUCAAUCAGUUUAAUCACUAAUUUCAUUUUUCGUAUUUUUUGUUUUAAAAGUUCUUGAAGAAAGAACUCGUACAAGAUUAAAUAUAUUUUUAAAAUGUAAAUUAAUUUAUGUAUACUAUACACAUAUAUACAGACUAUAUUACAUUUUGAUUUAUAUUUUAAUGAUAAAUUAAAAGUAUUAUUUUAAUUUAUUUAAAUACGACUACUAAUUUAAAUUCAAACAGAAAAAAUUAAAUAUAGUGGUGUUCCUUUCAAAUUAAAUUGAAACAUUCGAAACUUUUAAAUAUUAUUAAAAAUAAAAUAAUAUAUACGUUAAAAGAAGUUCUAUGAAUGUUUCUAAUCCAUAGAAUUUUAUAUGGUUUAUGAGUUGUUUUUAUCUUGUGAAUUUUUUUAAUAAAGGAUUUAUUUCAGCUGUCAGUUUUUUUAAUCCAAAUUCAUAUGGUGAAAUCCUAUAAAAUAAUACUAUAAAAUGCACUAAGACGUAUCUAAUUAACCAUAAACAUAAAGGUCUUUUUAUUCAUAAUUUUGUAGUACAAUUAAGAAGCAUAUUUUUUAUUUGAUUUACAUUCACAUAGACAUAAGUCUGAUGGUCUUGUCUUGAACACAACAUCAUAACUUACACAAAGCAUUGAAGUGAGCAAAGAAUACUGAUUCAUUCAUUGCUAGGAAGUUGUAAACAUGACAAUGCAAGAAAACACAAAGCAGAUUCUCUUAUUAUUUAAGCAGUAGUAAGAUAAGAGAGGAUGUUGUUGCAUGUUCUAGGCAUGGUUGUUGUCUUCCACUGGAGGGUACUUUCCAUAAGGUGGUUUCUUCUUGUAUGGUGGCUUUUUGUAUGGUGGUUUGUAGAAAGGUGGUUUUGGCUUGUAAAUGGGAUGCUUAUAAAUAGGAGGCUUGUAAAUUGGAUGCUUCUUGAUUGGUUUGUAAUAAGUAGCAAAACCUUGAGGAAUGAGAAUUAGGGCAGCAAGAAGUAACACCAGAAAGCUUGAAAAGGAAGCCAUUUUUAGGGUUGGUGUGUUAGCAGACUGAGUAAUAUGUUAGUAUAUAUAGUAGUAAGGAAGUUCAAUGUAUUAUGUAGGUGUAAUGUCUCAAUCUAGGUCAUUAAUGAUUUGCUUUGUCACACUUUGAUAUUUGCCAAAGUUUGGUGUGAUUAUUCAUCAUUGAUUUAGACCCUUUGGUCCCA
rnacentral:lncRNA from 1 species